rnacentral:rRNA from 1 species
CCCUUAGAUGUCCGGGGCCGCACGCGCGCUACACUGAAGGAAUCAGCGUGGCUUUCUCCCUGGUCCGAAAGGACCGGGAAACCCGUUGAAUCUCCUUCGUGAUAGGGAUUGGGGCUUGAAAUUGUUCCCCAUGAACGAGGAAUUCCCAGUAAGCGCGAGUCAUAAGCUCGCGUUGAUUACGUCCCUGCCCUUUGUACACACCGCCCGUCGCUACUACCGAUUGAACGGUUUAGUGAGGGCCUCGGAUUGGUCUCGGCCCGCUCUUCACCGGGCGGCGCCGUUGGUCGAGAAGACGCUCGAACUUGAUCGUUUAGAGGAAGUAAAAGUCGUAACA